rnacentral:rRNA from 1 species
UACGUAGGGUGCGAGCGUUGUCCGGAAUUAUUGGGCGUAAAGAGUGCGUAGGCGGUUCGUUAAGUCUGUCGUGAAAUCCCCGGGCUCAACCUGGGAAUGGCGAUGGAUACUGGCGAGCUAGAGUGUGUCAGAGGAUGGUGGAAUUCCCGGUGUAGCGGUGAAAUGCGCAGAUAUCAGGAGGAACACCGGUGGCGAAGGCGGAUCUCUGGGCCGUAACUGACGCUGAGGAGCGAAAGCAUGGGUAGCGAACAGG